rnacentral:rRNA from 1 species
AUUGAACGCUGGCGGUAGGCCUAACACAUGCAAGUCGAACGCGAAAGUCCUUCGGGAUGAGUAGAGUGGCGGACGGGUGAGUAACGCGUAGGAAUCUAUCCUGUAGUGGGGGAUAACGUUUCGAAAGGAACGCUAAUACCGCAUACGCCCCAAGGGGGAAAGCGGGGGAUCUGCGGACCUCGUGCUAUAGGAGGAGCCGGCGUCGGAUUAGCUAGUUGGUGAGGUAAAGGCUCACCAAGGCGACGAACCGUAGCUGGUCUGAGAGGAUGAUCAGCCACACCGGAACUGAGACACGGUCCGGACUCCUACGGGAGGCAGCAGUGGGGAAUAUUGCGCAAUGGGCGAAAGCCUGACGCAGCCAUACCGCGUGUGUGAAGAAGGCCUUCGGGUUGUAAAGCACCUUCAGUGGGGAGGAAAAGCUGGUGGCUAAUAUCCAUCGGCCGUGACGCUACCCACAGAAGAAGCACCGGCUAAUUCCGUGCCAGCAGCCGCCGCCGUAA